CUCCUGAACACAGGUGAUCCACCACCUUGGUCUCCCACAGUGCUGUGAUUACAGACAUGAGCCAUCAUGCCCAGGCCAUCCAUCCAUUUUUUUACUGAGAUUCUAUGGCAUGUCAAAUCUUGUGUUGAGUAUUUUGUGUGUGCGCUCUCUCUCUCUGCCCUUCCUUUUCUUAGGGGAAGGAGUAGGAGCAGAUAAAGCAAAUGGUGUGAAAUACUAUAAAAUAGGAACAAAGAAAAUGCUUUGGAGAUUUGGAGGAGAAAGUGGCUUCUGGAUGAGGUUAUGGUUGCCUUCCUGUCAGGGGAGACAUUUGGUUUGGGCCUUGAUAAAACAGCAGUAUUUGGAUAUACCCGAGUACAUUGGAAGUCAUUCCAAGUAGAAGAAGCAAAACAUCAAAGACAAGGUGCCUAGAGAGCAGCAUUCAUAUCUUAUGCUUUAUAUCCCUCCUAAAGUGCCUAGUAGAGAACUGGGCACACUUCAGCAACCUAAUACAUACUUGCUGAUUCAUAUUCUCUCUCUCUCUCUCUCCUUCUCUGACAGGGGCACUCCCAACACUUAAUUAAGCCUCGAUCUUCAGGCAAGAAAGUCUGUGAUAUGAAUGAAGGGGGUACAGAGGCCCAACAACAAUCAUCGAAUGAGCCUGGAAGUGGAUCCUUUCACUCCAGUCAAGCCUUCUGAUGACUGCAGCCCUGGCUGAUGCUUGACUACAGCUUCAUUAGAAAUCCUCAUGAAGAUCCAGCACCUUCCAGUUAGCCCAUCUGUGGGUUCUUGACCCUCAGAAAUUCUAUGAGAUAAUAAAUAUUUGUUAUUUUAA